rnacentral:tRNA from 1 species
GGGGCUAUAGCUCAGUUGGCUAGAGCGCUUCGCUGGCAGCGAAGAGGUCCGCGGUUCGAGUCCGCGUAGCUCCACCA